rnacentral:rRNA from 1 species
CCCUUAGAUGUCCUGGGCCGCACGCGCGCUACACUGAGUGUCUGAGAUACGAGUCUGCCUGGUCCGGCAAGGUCUAGGUAAUCGCUAAAAGACACAUCAUGCUUGGGAUAGAUUAUUGCAAAUAUUAAUCUUGAACGAGGAAUUCCUAGUAAGCGCAAGUCAACAGCUUGUGCUGAUUACGUCCCUGCCCUUUGUACACACCGCCCGUCGCUCCUACCGAGGGGGUGAUCCGGUGAAUGAUUCGGACUUUGGCGUUUCUAGCUGCUAGCAGCGCUGAAGAAAGUUUUGUGAACCUUAUCACUUGGAGGAAGGAGAAGUCGUAACA